rnacentral:rRNA from 1 species
AGAAUAGACUACCCCGGUAGUCCACGCCCUAAACGAUGCGAACUGGAUGGUUGGGUACAUUACGGUACUCAGUGUCGAAGCUAACGCGUUAAGUUCGCCGCCUGGGGAGUACGGUCGCAAGACUGAAACUCAAAGGAAUUGACGGGGGCCCGCACAAGCGGUGGAGUAUGUGGUUUAAUUCGAUGCAACGCGAAGAACCUUACCUGGCCUUGACAUCUGUCGAAUCCUGCAGAGAUGCGGGAGUGCCGCAAGGAACGACAAGACAGGUGCUGCAUGGCUGUCGUCAGCUCGUGUCGUGAGAUGUUGGGUUAAGUCCCGCAACGAGCGCAACCCUUGUCCUUAGUUGCCAGCACGUAAUGGUGGGAACUCUAAGGAGACUGCCGGUGACAAACCGGAGGAAGGUGGGGAUGACGUCAAGUCCUCAUGGCCCUUACGGCCAGGGCUACACACGUACUACAAUGGUCGGUACAGAGGGUUGCGAAGCCGCGAGGUGGAGCCAAUCCCAGAAACCCGAUCGUAGUCCGGAUCGCAGU